AACGAUGAUAGAAAAAAUUAUAGACAAGUGAAGAAAAUGGGAGAGCUGAAAUGAUUCAGCAGAGUCUCAACUCUAUUAGUCCUGACUUACCUUGCGAAGAAUACCCUGCUCCCUUUUAUAUAGAGAGGGUGAGGAUGGCCUGCUCAGGUUGUUAGGCCAUUAAGAGAGUUUGUUAGGCCGUCAGUUUAUUAUAACAGAAUGGCC
rnacentral:lncRNA from 1 species